AUUGAACGCUGGCGGCAUGCCUUACACAUGCAAGUCGAACGGCAGCACGGGAGCAAUCCUGGUGGCGAGUGGCGAACGGGUGAGUAAUAUAUCGGAACGUGCCCAGUCUGGGGAUAACGUAGCGAAAGCUACGCUAAUACCGCAUACGAUCUAUGGAUGAAAGCGGGGGAUCGCAAGACCUCGCGCGAUUGGAGCGGCCGAUAUCAGAUUAGGUAGUUGGUGAGGUAAAGGCUCACCAAGCCGACGAUCUGUAGCUGGUCUGAGAGGACGACCAGCCACACUGGGACUGAGACACGG
rnacentral:rRNA from 1 species